rnacentral:rRNA from 1 species
UAGGGAAUCUUCGGCAAUGGACGGAAGUCUGACCGAGCAACGCCGCGUGAGUGAAGAAGGUUUUCGGAUCGUAAAGCUCUGUUGUAAGAGAAGAACGAGUGUGAGAGUGGAAAGUUCACACUGUGACGGUAUCUUACCAGAAAGGGACGGCUAACUACGUGCCAGCAGCCGCGGUAAUACGUAGGUCCCGAGCGUUGUCCGGAUUUAUUGGGCGUAAAGCGAGCGCAGGCGGUUAGAUAAGUCUGAAGUUAAAGGCUGUGGCUUAACCAUAGUAGGCUUUGGAAACUGUUUAACUUGAGCGCAAGAGGGGAGAGUGGAAUUCCAUGUGUAGCGGUGAAAUGCGUAGAUAUAUGGAGGAACACCGGUGGCGAAAGCGGCUCUCUGGCUUGUAACUGACGCUGAGGCUCGAAAGCGUGGGGAGCAAACAGGAUUAGAUACCCUGGUAGUCCACGCUGUAAACGAUGAGUGCUAGGUGUUAGACCCUUUCCGGGGUUUAGUGCCGUAGCUAACGCAUUAAGCACUCCGCCUGGGGAGUACGACCGCAAGGUUG